rnacentral:rRNA from 1 species
UACAGAGGUCUCAAGCGUUGUUCGGAUUCAUUGGGCGUAAAGGGUGCGUAGGUGGCGCGCUAAGUCAGGUGUGAAAUUUCGGAGCUUAACUCCGAAACUGCAUUUGAUACUGGUGUGCUUGAGGACUGGAGAGGAGACUGGAAUUCAUGGUGUAGCAGUGAAAUGCGUAGAGAUCAUGAGGAAGACCAGUGGCGAAGGCGGGUCUCUGGACAGUUCCUGACACUGAGACACGAAGGCCAGGGGAGCAAACGGG